GAUGAACAUCAGCACAGCAGACAUGCAUGCGGGGGAGAGAGGAACCUUACAUUCUCUUUCCUCCUGUUUUAUACUAUUGUGUUCAUAGUAGGUUUUUUUUUUUUCCUGUGUGGUUUCUCUGCAUUUAUCUUCUACAGACGGUAUUAAUGGAUCUGUUGGUUACUGGCUUACCUUGAAGCUCGACACACAAUUUAUGGGCCUUCCAAAGAAACCUUGGCAACCCCUAACCCAGCGUGUGACAGCGUUAGGGUCUAGGGAGAAGAAAGGACCCACUGCUUGAAACGGGAGGGACCCAACAGAUGCCCUCACAGAGGCCAUCACUCUCAUACUCUACCUCACUCCUCUGUCUUGUCUUGUCUUGAUCAUGUGUUGUGUGCAUUUGUGUAUAUUUGGUCAUAUACAGCCUUCCGGCUGCUUACUUUCUAUGUUAAUGGCUUUGAUGCUUAGUAUGUAAGAGGCUGACUUUUGUAAGUAAUUACAACCAUAUACACCACAUAUUUCUUGACUCAAUGUUGUGUUUUAAAUGCUUUAAUUUAGUACCAGUAUAACAAAAAGGAAAUAUGUCUUGUGCCCCUUUCAAACAUAUACUGCAUUUAUAAUGGCAUUAUGACUGACAUUAUUUUAUACAACUUGGUUGACUGCAGGCAAAGUGAGCAGUAGUGUUUUGGGCUCUAGUGGCCAAACAAAGGGUCAGUUGUGUGACUUGUACACUCUGUGCACUGCCAGUGACUACUGAAUUUACUUGUCUGAGAAAAAAACAAACAAACACACACACACACACACUGUGAGAGACCAGGGAGCAUGCCUUUACAUAUUGAGACUAAAUAUUUGCUCAACAUCAGUGGCCUUUGAUUUGUAGCUUGUAGUAGAUUUCAGGGCUGAUCUCCAAUAAACACACUCCACAUUUAAAGUGGCCUCAUUAAAACUAACAGAUCUGAUUUUUGUCACAUAUCCAGUAGAUAUCAUAUAUUUUACUGAAAAGAAGUAACUGAGAACAUGUGUGAUCAUCUGGUGCGAAGACAUCUGUGAUGAGGUCCCCUGUAUUAUAUUAAUCCUAAACAUGCUUGCUAAGACGUAUGAUUUUAUAUUU